rnacentral:miRNA from 1 species
UAUCUCAAUCUAAUAUGGCG